UGGCAAUGUGUCACGGUGAGUAAAAUAAAAAUGGAGGCCACGUUUAACAAAUGAUUGAUUUUUAAAAGGUGAUUAAUCUCAUCCCCACCAGUUUAAAGCACAGAGGGUGAAAAUGCCAAGGAGACUUAGUAGCCCUGAGGAGGCCCAAAGUGAGAAAACCAACAAAACUAUCCACUGGACCUGAUGAAGUAAUGCGACCCCAUUCAUUUUAAUCAAUUCCUUUUAAUCAAUGGACCCAAAUACUGUGCAAAUUCCUGCUACCAAAUGGCCUCCAUUGAGGACUAGCAGAAGACAGAGGACCAAAGAAACUGAAGUGUAAAAGAGAGAUAGAGAGACGAACAGAAGAGAAAGAGAUGAAGAACCAGGAGACGAUCAUUGAGCACAUCAAGUUUUUUUUUAAACUGUAAAUUGUAUAAAAUAAAUGAAUAAACAAAAAA